UAGGGAAUAUUGCGCAAUGGGGGAAACCCUGACGCAGCGACGCCGCGUGAGUGAUGAAGGCCUUCGGGUUGUAAAGCUCUGUUACAAGGGAAAAAGUUCUGAUUGUACUUUGUGAGAAAGGGACGGCUAACUUCGUGCCAGCAGCCGCGGUAAGACGAGGGUCCCUAGCGUUGCUCGGAAUCAUUGGGCGUAAAGCGGGUGUAGGAGGCUUUUUAAGUCAGGUGUGAAAUCCCAAGGCUCAACCUUGGACGUGCAUUUGAUACUGGAAAGCUUGAGUGCUAGAGAGGUCACUGGAAUUCCUGGUGUAGUGGUGAAAUACGUAGAUAUCAGGAGGAAUACCGGAGGCGAAGGCGGGUGACUGGCUAGACACUGACUCUGAGACCCGAAAGCGUGGGGAUCAAACAGGAUUAGAUACCCCUGUAGUCC
rnacentral:rRNA from 1 species